rnacentral:rRNA from 1 species
AACGUAGGACGCAAGCGUUAUCCGGAGUUACUGGGCGUAAAGCGCGGGCAGGCGGCCCGCAACGUCUGAUGUGAAAUCUCCUCGCUCAACGGGGAGAGGCCAUUGGAAACGGUCGGGCUGGAGGGCAGUAGAGGUAGGCGGAAUUCCGGGUGGAGUGGUGAAAUGCGUAGAGAUCCGGAGGAACACCAGAGGCGAAGGCGGCCUACUGGGCUGCACCUGACGCUGAGCCGCGAAAGCCAGGGGAGCGAACGGG